rnacentral:lncRNA from 1 species
GUUAUACUCAGCCUUGUAAGUUGGUGGUCUGUUGAUGUCUUUCUAGUGGUGUGGGGGCUGUGCUUUGGAAAAGUGGGUGGGGUUAUAUCCUGCCUGGUUUACCCUGUCCAGCAGUAUCGUCGGACGGGGCCACAGUGUCUCCCGACCCAUCCCUGUCUCAUUCUCCAGUAUCUAUGCUGCAAUAGACUUUGUGCCGGGGGACUAGGGCAGACGCCAAUACCAGUAUGGCAGAAUUCAUCAAGCAGACGGUGUUGGACGAAGCCCCAGUAAAAGGGGAUAAAAAGGUUGAGGUCCAUGUGAUUAAAAUAAGAAACCAACAUCACACAAUUCCUGAAAAAAACACCUGGAGGACCUAAACCAAAGGCUUUCUGGUAGUUUCCGAAACAUGCCACACACAAAAGAAAUGAAAAAGGGAACCUGAAUGUGGUUAAUUGCUUGUGGGGAAAUCCCAUGCACUCAAAACAGUUACACAACAACCAAAUAAGUUAUGAUCAGAUGGCUUUUCAUAAAGUAAAGAAAUAAAAGUAUGUGAGAAUAGGGUUUGCCUACAAAAUAAGGGCCGCCCAUAUGUGUUGGUAUUGUAGUUUAGCAUCCUGAUGGUGAAGGGAAAUUGUAACGCUACAGCUGUCACGCUCUGACCUAGGAGAGCUGUGUUUUCUCUGUUUAGCUAGGCCAGGGUGUGAUAGGUGGGUGGACAUUCUGUGUUUUGUUUUCUAUGUUUUGGCCGGGUAUGGUUUCCAAUCAGAGGCAGGUGUCUAUCGUUGUCUCUGAUUGGAAGCCAUACUUAGGCAGCCUGUUUUUCCUUUGGUUUUUGUGGGUAGCUGCUUUCUGAUUUGUUGUAAGUACCUGAC